AAGAGUUUGAUCCUGGCUCAGAAUGAACGCUUGUAGUUAGCCUAACACAUGCAAGUUAAAUACUUUUUAUUUUUUAAAAAGUAUAGCGAACGGGUGAGUAAGGUAUAGAAAUUUACCCUUAAAUUUUUUUAAAUUAUAUAAAAAUUUAUUUGUUUUUGGAAAGGUCUAUAUAAGAUUAAGUAGUUGGUAGGUAAAGUCUACCAAGCUUACAAUCUUUAGUUGGCCUUUGAGGGUGAUCAACCACACUGGAAUUGAGAUAUGGUCCAGACUCUUUUAUGGAGGCAGCAGUGGGGAAUUUUGGGCAAUAAGCGGAAGCUUGACCCAGCUAAACUACGUGUGUGAUGAAGGUAAGUAACUGUAAAGCACGUUAUUUGUAUAGAAAUUACGAUUUAAAUAUAUAAAGCCCUGGCUAAUUUCGUGCCAGCAGCCGCGGUAAAACGAGAAGGGCAAGCGUUAUUCGGAUUAACUGGGCGUAAAGUAUAUGUAGAUGGAAAAUUACUUAGUAAAUAAAAUAUUAAAUCUAAUUUUAAAUGAUUUUACUAAACACAUUUUCUAGAGUUUAAAAGAAGAUUGUAGAACUUUAAAUGUAACGGUAAAAUGUAUUGAUAUUUAAAAGAAUUUCUAUAGCGAAAGCAACAAUCUAAAUUAAAACUGACAUUAAGAUAUUAAAGCGUGGGUAGCAAAGGGGAUUAGAUACCCCCGUAGUCCACGCCUUCAACGAUGAGUGUUUACUUUUGGGUUAAUCUAAAGUGCAGCUAACGCGUUAAACACUUCGCCAGGGAACUACGAUCGCAAGAUUAAAACUCAAAGGAAUUGACGGGGACCUAUACAAGCAGUGGAGCAUGUGGUUUAAAUCGACAAUACGCGCGAAACCUUACCAAUUUUUGUAUACAUUAUAGUACAGGUGUUGCAUGGCUGUCGUCAGUCCGUGCUGUGAAGCGUUUGAUUAAUUUCAACAAACGGACGAAACUCUUACGUAUGAUCUGCAAACCGCUAAAGAUAUUUUGGAGGAAGGAAAGAAUGACGUCAAGUCCUUAUGACCCUAAUAAAUUGGGCUACUUUCAUGUGCUACAAUAACUAGUUCAAAAAGAAGCAAAAAUGUAAAUUUGAGCAAUUCUUUAAAAGUAGAUAUAUUCUUAUUAUUUUCUGCAACUCGAAAAUAUGAAGUUGGAAUUGCUAGUAAUCGUAAAUAAGAAUGUUACGGUGAAUUUGUUCUUAGGUCUUGUACACACCGCCCGUCACGCUAUGGAAAUUCUAACCAUUUGAAAAUUACUGUGAGUAGUUUAUAAUGUAAGAACAACUGAAGUGAAGUCGUAACAAGGUAGCUGUAGGGGAACCUGUGGCUGGAAAAUAAAACAAUACUAUAUCA
rnacentral:ncRNA from 1 species